AAAAAAAGAAAUUGUAAAAUUAUAACAUACGUGUAAAUCCCUUCGGUUUUGUGUUGGAAACGGUGUGGAACCUAAGAAUCACAUUACCAUAUGUGGUGCUCCUGUCCCAGUUUAAGUCACUUCCAGUAACUCUGAGCUCAGAGACACCUCUUCUACUCGACAUUUGGCUGCUGCACCAGACACGUCGAGUAGAAGUGCCCAUUGGUAAUAAAGAUUCAGUACAAAUUAAGAAUAUAUAUACACUUGUAAAAUACACAUAAUCUUUAUUAUGUACACUAAAACAAACAUAAAAAGCAU